rnacentral:rRNA from 1 species
GAUGAACGCUGGCGGCGUGCCUAAUACAUGCAAGUCGAGCGAACAGACGAGGAGCUUGCUCCUCUGACGUUAGCGGCGGACGGGUGAGUAACACGUGGAUAACCUACCUAUAAGACUGGGAUAACUUCAGGAAACCGGAGCUAAUACCGGAUAAUAUAUUGAACCGCAUGGUUCAAUAGUGAAAGACGGUUUUGCUGUCACUUAUAGAUGGAUCCGCGCCGCAUUAGCUAGUUGGUAAGGUAACGGCUUACCAAGGCAACGAUGCGUAGCCGACCUGAGAGGGUGAUCGGCCACACUGGAACUGAGACACGGUCCAGACUCCUACGGGAGGCAGCAGUAGGGAAUCUUCCGCAAUGGGCGAAAGCCUGACGGAGCAACGCCGCGUGAGUGAUGAAGGUCUUCAGAUCGUAAAACUCUGUUAUUAGGGAAGAACAAAUGUGUAAGUAACUAUGCACGUCUUGACGGUACCUAAUCAGAAAGCCACGGCUAACUACGUG